rnacentral:misc_RNA from 1 species
CGGAAAGCGCUCCAUCGCGAUCCAGGCCAGUUCGAUUCCCGACAUCUCGCCAUGAAGAUCAGCGUCGGUGAACAUCAGCGUCAGAUCCCCGCCGGCUUGUUCAAGCACGGCAGCGGCGGGCCCCCCGCCCCNNNNNNNNNNNNCGUUGAGAUCGCUUUCCUCGAAAAUCAGGCUGACGAGUUCCCGCUGGAGCUGAUCGUCUUCGACAACCAGCACAGUCUGUUUCAGAGCGUGUCCCAUGAGCCCUCCCUUUUCAAUGAAGAAACCGGCUACGAAGAAAGGCAAUGCAUAAAGGCGGGAGAAGUUCGCCUGGUGCUGAGGAACCAAAUUAGCAGUGUCACGUUUUCAUCCGCGAAACGAGCUACACCAUUGAGGUACAUCGUGAAGCAAUCCGUCGACCACGUGACGAAGGCGUUCGCACAAAAGCACAGGAAAAUGACGCCGGAUCAGGAGCGCCGCGUUCGCGACGAGGUU